rnacentral:rRNA from 1 species
GGCUAGCGCUGCUAUACUGCAAGUCGAGCGGACAGAUGGGAGCUUGCUCCCUGAUGUUAGCGGCGGACGGGUGAGUAACACGUGGGUAACCUGCCUGUAAGACUGGGAUAACUCCGGGAAACCGGGGCUAAUACCGGAUGCUUGUUUGAACCGCAUGGUUCAAACAUAAAAGGUGGCUUCGGCUACCACUUACAGAUGGACCCGCGGCGCAUUAGCUAGUUGGUGAGGUAACGGCUCACCAAGGCAACGAUGCGUAGCCGACCUGAGAGGGUGAUCGGCCACACUGGGACUGAGACACGGCCCAGACUCCUACGGGAGGCAGCAGUAGGGAAUCUUCCGCAAUGGACGAAAGUCUGACGGAGCAACGCCGCGUGAGUGAUGAAGGGUUUUCGGAUCGUAAAGCUCUGUUGUUAGGGAAGAACAAGUACCGUUCAAAUAGGGCGGUACCUUGACGGUACCUAACCAGAAAGCCACGGCUAACUACGUGCAGACC